UGCUCUCAGUCCUGAACCCGUAGAUCCGAACUUGUGCUAACUGACAUCACAAGCUUGCAUCUACAGGUUCCCGUCUGUGCAGCUCC
rnacentral:pre_miRNA from 1 species